CACCGCCCGUCACAUCACGAAAGACCACGUUGUACUAGAAGCCGGCAAUUCAACCGCAAGGAGAUAGCCGUCCAAGGUAUGACUGGUGAUUGGGGUG
rnacentral:rRNA from 1 species